rnacentral:lncRNA from 1 species
GGUGACGACAGUUAGGGCGACGACGGCUAUGGUUUUCCCUCCUUUUUUGCUGCUGAAAAUGUUUAGUUUUUGGGCUAUUGGGCCACUAGGGUUUUUGUUGCAUUUGGACUGAUUUGGAUUUUAGGUUUGGGCUAUUGGGUUUGUUGGGUUUAUGUAAUUCUGGACUAGACUUUAUUUUUUUUUAUUUUGGGUCUGUUUGAUUUUUUAUUUUGUUUUGUUUUAUUUAUUUGGGUUUAUUUAUCUGUAUUUGACUUUUAGGCCCAGGCUAAAAUUGGGCCUUACAGCUUUCUUGGAAAAUUCCAGCAUGUGUGACUAUAUUUGGGUGUAAAUAAAAUCAGCACUUGGGUAUAGGGGUUAAUUGUGAAAAUAAGCUUUAGGUCUUAG